CCAGUCUCCUCUCUGUGUCCUGCCUCCUCUUCCAAAAACAGUAAAAGACUCAAACUGAAAGAAUGCAGAAAACACAGGACCCAGAGGGUGUUCAUGUAUGAAAGCAUUGUUGGCAAAAGAGUUUUAAAUAUGCCAUGCCUUUCAGGGAAAAGAAGAAGUCAAAGUGCGGUGGACACCAUGCUCUAAGUGUGGCAAGGAAUGGGAUGACACAUGGGAACCAGCCCAACAGUAUAGCUGCUCAAAAUAAGUAACUGGUGUUUCCAUAAGUUCUGUCCUGUUCUGUUCUGUGUACUUAAGUUUAUUUACAAAUGGCAACUUUAUUUUAUGGAUGUAUUUAUUUUAUUUUAUUUCUACUUUAUUUUUGUUUGUUCAUAUUUUUUCAGUUGAAAGACUUUUCUCAGUCAUACACUGUGAAUAACACACAUGCACACACACGUGUCACAUGUUUCAGAUACAGUGGAGAAAUUCAGAAAUAAAUUGUUCUUUGUGGUA